GGCCCUAUCGUCUAAUGGUUAGGACAGCGGCUUUUCAAGCCGUUAAUCCGGGUUCAAUUCCCGGUAGGGUCA
rnacentral:tRNA from 1 species